CAGGCUCCUUGAGAAUGGUGAAGGACACCAUUUCAUUUCUGCAUCCUUCUGCAAGUUCUACUAAAGUAGCUGGUACAUUGAUCAUGUUCAUUGGAAAUUCCCUGAAGAGUCUAUUUCUUACAAGUAAAAGAAAUGCCAGGCAACAUUUGCUAAGUCAUUUGUUUUGAGAUCUGUUAAAAUGAUGUCAGGAUUACUCAAUCCCAGUAUGGUCUUAAAUUUUAGAAGAUCAACUCUGAAAUCUGGAUGAAUUUCACAGCAUUUACAGUAGUGUGCUUCUGCAUAUCUGCUGAACUUUGGAGAUCAUGAUAUAUCCCUUUGUCUUCACUUACUGAAGCCUUUUGGAUUUUUCUGUAAUAAAAUACUAAAUCGAA